GAAACUUAAACUGGAACUGAAGAAAAAGUAUAAUAGAUAUUGAAAAGAUAAAUACAAGUUGAAUAGUUGAAUGUCUUGUCUUCGUUUUAAAGUUUGAAUGGUGGCUCUAUGUCAAUGUAUGUGGAAGUAGUAAGAGUUUAAAAAUGAGUAAGUUGAAUGAGGAUUUGAAGGGUCUCCCCAUUGAAAUACAUUAUAAAUUUUUGUUGAAUAAAGUUGAAUAAAAUUAAAAAUAUAAAUGUUAAAAAUAUGAAAAAUAGAAGCAGUGUUGUCCAAAAGAAUAGGAAUCUAACGAUGUUUGAAUGGUUUUUCUAAGUUGAACGGUUUUGAAGGAGUAGGCUUUGAAAAAACGUACGGAAAAAUAAAAUAUAAUAAUAAUAAUAACUAGAAAGUGCAUUUUCUGAAGAAACUGCAGUGUGAAUGCUUGAAUCUGAAUGUAUGCACUGAAAUGAAUUAAUUGCUGAAUUUUGAGUUAAAAAUAUUGAAUGAAAUUAAAAAAAAACAAAAAAAAAGAAAACGAAUUUAACCUGAAAACAAAGGUGCUGAACUGCUAAAAGCUGAAGGUUACACAGAAGAAGGAGUUGGAAAAAAACUGAAAAUGUUUUAAAUGUAAAUUAGAAAACCCUAAGAAAUGAGAAAAGAACAUUUAGAGUCAGAAAACAUCUGAAUGAAUAUUAAAAGGUCAUAUUCUUUGAAUCACUGAAUGAAGAAAAUGUGAUCCCUCCACUUUGAUCCACACAGUUUAAAAAGUUUAAAUGCCUGAGCUUUGAAAGACACGGUGUUGGAAAGAGAACAAUAAUGGCGACAAUUUGAGGGUAAAAUGAUGGCUGUAACACUGUGGACACAGCAACAGUUGAAAGAGAAGUGCUUAAGAUGAAUCUUGGCACAGUGGCAGGCAGAGCUCGUUAAGCAGGCAGGUGUGAGCCUGGUUGCUAUAGUGACCGCACCCAAUGGCUCCAUACACACGUACACAGACAUGCACCUCACUUUUGCUGCUUAAAAUGAACAGAAAAGUCAGGCCGAAACAAAUCGUUCCCAAAUGAAAAGUAAAAGUCGUAUUGACAAAAUUCUUUCACCGUGAGUGACAGCAGCUUCUAGUCUACUGAAUUCUCAGUUUUCAUGCCUGUGGAGUUUAUUAUAUGGACGUGGUGACAGUGGAAAGACACCAUGCUCUUCUGAUUUUCAAACGAACCUUCUGAGACAUUUUAACAUUGGAGUCUAUGGAAGAGUUGGAGGGAGGAGGCUGUGCAUUGGUGACAUUUAUGAAAGAACCAUA
ensembl:lncRNA